ensembl:antisense
GACUGAGCACUAAAUGUCAACAUUGUUCCAUGGCUGCUUGGGUUCCUUCCUCAAAGCACACAAAGAGAUCCAGGGACUCCACUAAGCAUGUGUCUACACAUCAAGAAGUGCUAUCCACACAGUUGUCUAUGUGCUUCAUCAUGUGUGCAGUGUUUAUGACAGACAUUAAAAAUAUCAAUUAGCAAAUACUUCAGGCUACCAAGAGGGGAAAGGAAAGAAAAAUCAAUGAAGCAAGCAGAGACAGGAAGACCAACCUAGGCUUCACUGUGAAUUCCAGACCAGCUUGGGAAGACUGUAAAACCUUGUCUCCAAAGAACAAAGAGAAACAAGGAACCAUAUAAAAUAAGCAAGGACAGUGGUAUGAAGAGAUCUGGCGAGGAUGUCCUGGGCUCUGCUCAGUCUCCUUCAUCAUGCUACCUGGCCACAAACACCAUGUAGAAACUACAGAUAAAUGGAUACAGUACAAUUUCCUGAAUUUAUGAGAUUGUGGAGAUGAAAAAAAAUAUUUAAUAUUUUGGUAAUGCACGGCUUUACUUCAAUAACAUUUUCUUUAUAAUUAUAAAUAUUAUUGGCAGAAGUUUACCAUUGGACACAAGCCAAACAAGAAAGCUUAAGUCACUAUUGUCACUGUAUCUUGUUUCUGAGGAGUAAAGGUAAUUGACACUUUGUUAACUAUGAUAUUAAUUGGAGCUGAUGACAUUUUACUAAGGAUACCAUGGGCAAUGUGCUUCUCAUCAGACACACCCUGAAUUUGCUUCUUUGUCCUUUUAAAGGCUCAGUACUAUUCUCCAGCAUGACUUAUUUAACUUGUCUCCUGGUCCUGUACCAUUAUGCUAUUUGAGAUUUUUCCAAUGCAAAUGAUUACAGUGUCAUUUAAAGUAGCUUAAUAUUUAUAUUAAUCUCAGUAACUUUGUGAAAGCUGGGUCCUAUAUGACCACAAAAGUGUAUUUAAAUAGCAUGGGUGUGCUCUACCUGAAGUUGGUGAAGACAUGUAAACACAUAUAGUAUUACCCUCACAUCUCGCUCUUUAGAGUCUAGUGCAGUGGAUAUAGGACAGUUUGAACCCUUAGACAACUGUCAUGUGGUGAAACAGGACUCUCUGAAAGUAAAUUGUGGUUCCACAACACACAGAAACCAACAAUAUGAUUCCUGGUUUUUUUCAUCAAUGGCACAACACAGUCAAGCAGACAUCGGGUACAGCAGGUAGGAGAGAGCACACAUAGGUAGGACUGAAAUCAUAGGAGAGGCUGGACGAGAUGGAGGAAAUGUUCUCGUGUGAACACUUGGUGUCAUGAGAUUAUCACAUGCGGAUUUGGGGAGGCCAUCUGAAGGCAGACUUCGUGUAAGGCUCACCUGAGCACACAGACUCCUUUCAUUAUGAACAAGUUCCAAGAGGGAAACUACUAAAGUCAGGUUGAGCCCUAUUUAAAUCAACAAUUUACAUAGCCUUAAUUCAAAUGAUAUAUAUAUAUAUAAAAUUUCCCCCCAAGCAAGCAUGCUGGGAUAUAGUCUUGGUGUUUAGGAGGACUACCUGAGAACUGGUUAAACAACAGAGUGAGACGGAACU